rnacentral:misc_RNA from 1 species
AGGAUGUUUCAAUCUGUGGUGUGAGUUCUAAAACAUUUUUCACGGCGACUAAAUGAGAAAAUAUGCAGGAGCUCCAAAAACAUGAAACUUCUUGACCAGGAAUGACCUUUGUAGACCAAGAGCCCAUGCAAGAGGCAAAACUACCUACCAUCUGCAACAAACAAAAAUAAACUCUCGAAUUGAAUCAAAUAUCUAGCUAGUACCAAGCUACACAGGCAUUGCAUUUUGGUAUUGAAUACAAUGAAAAUUCUGGGUAAAUGCAUUCACAGCAGGAUCACUAAUUCAUAAUGCAACAGAUAGCACUACAAACCUCCCUAAAAUAACAUAGCCAAACAUGCAUUCUACUCUACGAAUGUACUGAGUCAUGGCUUCCAUGCCUCCUGCAUUUUCAUUGGGAAAAUGGGUAAGGGGUCUAGAGGUAAGGAGGGAAUGGGAACCUCAUAACAUUGCCAAAUCAGUACAAAUAUAGCAGCAUCGUGCAUCUCUGAUCUUCGGACAUUCCAAAAAAGAAGCAAAAGCACGACAUCAAUCCAAACCUUAAACUCCCCCUCCUCUCUCUCUCUUUUUCACACCCCACCCCGGGCGCUCUUUUCCUCCUCUCUCCCUCUCCCCCUCUCUCUCCACCCCUUGAACCUCAUUGUGCAGGUUGUUAAUAUGUUUUUUAUUGCAAACAAAGGACAAAAGAAAAAUAGAGGGAAAGAAUAUAAAAUAGUAGAUGACAUUAGCAUGCAUAGUUAUUAAAGGCUCA